AAAUUUGAAAUCUGGCGCAAGCCCGAGUUGUAAUUUGUAGAGGAUGCUUCUGGCCAGCGGCCGUUCUAAGUUCCUUGGAACAGGACGUCAUAGAGGGUGAGAAUCCCGUAUGUGACCGGCGCGCAGCCUUUACGUAGCUCCUUCGACGAGUCGAGUUGUUUGGGAAUGCAGCUCUAAAUGGGAGGUAAAUUUCUUCUAAAGCUAAAUACCGGCCAGAGACCGAUAGCGCACAAGUAGAGUGAUCGAAAGAUGAAAAGCACUUUGGAAAGAGAGUUAAAAAGCACGUGAAAUUGUUGAAAGGGAAGCGCUUGCAACCAGACUUCGUAGCGGUGUUCCGCCGGUCUUCUGACCGGUCUACUCACCGUCGCGAGGCCAACAUCGUCUGGGACCGCUGGAUAAGACCUAAGGAAUGUAGCUUCCCUCGGGAAGUGUUAUAGCCUGUGGUGAUGCAGCGCGUCUCGGGCGAGGUCCGCGCUUCGGCAAGGAUGUUGGCGUAAUGGUUGUCAGCGGCCCGUCUUGAAACACGGACCAAGGAGUCUAACAUCUAUGCGAGUGUUCGGGUGUCAAACCCCUACGCGUAAUGAAAGUGAACGGAGGUGGGAAGCGCAAGCUGCACCAUCGACCGAUCCUGAUGUCCUCGGAUGGAUUUGAGUAAGAGCAUAGCUGUUGGGACCCGAAAGAUGGUGAACUAUGCCUGAAUAGGGUGAAGCCAGAGGAAACUCUGG
rnacentral:rRNA from 2 species